rnacentral:rRNA from 1 species
UACGUAGGGUCCGAGCGUUGUCCGGAAUUACUGGGCGUAAAGCGUGCGCAGGCGGCUAUGCAAGACAGAUGUGAAAUCCCCGGGCUCAACCUGGGAACUGCAUUUGUGACUGCAUGGCUAGAGUACGGUAGAGGGGGAUGGAAUUCCGCGUGUAGCAGUGAAAUGCGUAGAUAUCAAGAGGAACACCAGCGGCGAAAGCGGCUCUCUGGAAGAUUCCUGACUCUGAAACACGAAAGCCAGGGGAGCAAACGGG